GCCUAGCUUAGCUUAGUCAGUAGCGCAGAGACUCUUAAUCUCAGGGCCAUGGGUUCAAGCCCCAUGCUGGGCA